AGGCGGCGGGGCUGCCAGCAAAGCACGGGUGCGUUCCAGGGCGUCCUCCCCAUUGGUUCCCAACCGCCCUUCCUGGCGAAGUUUUCCAAGGCAUGGUUUGAAACGCAGCCUCCCAUCUCUUGUGCCCAGCUUCCGCUGAGCUCCGAAAAGGAGAAGAGCCUUUGGGGAGGGAGGAGGAGGAGGAGGAGGCGCGCGCGCAGGGCGGUGCCAGCUGGGCAACCGGCGGUAAGAAAGCACCUCGUAGCUUUUGAAGGGAGGAGGGGCGACGGAAAGAGAGAAUGCGGAGUCGCCUUUCAGGGACGCCGAAAUGGUGGGAAACCAGCACCACCGCCAGAGUCCAAAGCUUUCGGCGGCUCCAGACAGAUAGAACUGGAACUGAGUGUUUCUCUGUCUCUAACCUGGUGAUUUCAACCACUACACCAAACUGGAUCUUCUUCCUCACCACAAAAUCUACUCAUUGACCUGUUCCUGACGCUCCCACAGCAAAUUCAAGGCUGCAGCUUUCAAGAUCAAUCAAUCAGGGUAGAGCUGGAAGGGACCUUGGAGGGA